rnacentral:lncRNA from 1 species
AUGCAGAUGAUGUAUUUCUCUCGUGGUUUGUUCAUUUUUAAUCUACUGCAGAUGCAAGGUUAUAUCCUCUUGCCCCUGGUGGAAUCGCAACAAGUUUGUUCGAGACAUGCUGAGAGAUUUUCAGUGAUGGAGGGAGAUUCUGUGACUUUUUACCCUGAUUCUAAUAAACUACAGCCAGAUGAUGUGAUACAGUGGAGGUUUGACAAUAAACAUCUAUGUGAAGCUAAAUUCAGUGAUGAGAAAACGAUUUCACUUUACCUGUUCCUGUCAUCAGCAGUAACUCUUCACAAUGCUCUUCAUCAUCAUCAUCAUCACAGCAGAAUUGUUCAUUGGUGUGUUCAGUGGUGAAUGUGGGUCAUGUGACUCUCUCCUGGUACAAAGGAAACAGUUUAUUGUCCAGCAUCAGUGUGUCUGAUCUCAGCAUCAGUCUCUCUCUACCUCUGGAGGUGGAAUAUCGGGAUAAAAACACCUACAGCUGUGUGCUCAACAAUCCCAUCAGCAACCAGACUCAACAUCUGGACAUCACUCAACUCUGUCACACAUGUGCAGGUAUGUCAGCUGUGAUUUUACACUCUCUUUUUACUGGUGAUGUGUUUCUAUUUUGUGUGAAUUGUCUUUAUUUACACUGUUAAUAAAAGUCAAUAAAAAAGUAUGAACAUCACAUACAUAU